rnacentral:rRNA from 1 species
AUGUUCGUGACGGCAGAUCCGGCCGUCGCCGGCGACGGCGACCGAUCCCGUGACGGCUGGCCCUUCUGGAACAUGCAGAGGAACCGGGGCCUCUCAGCCGCCUCGACCUCCACCAACUGGGUCCUCUCGGCCACCACGAAGAACGAGGGCUACUCCAUCUGGACCUCCGUGGGCGGCAAAUGGUGCCCCAGGCCCACGGAUGCUCACGCCCCGGGGUACUACCACGACCUCGCCGAGUUCUACCUCGAGGCGGCCCGCCGCCUCCCCAUCGCCGACAUCCCGUACCUCUCGGACUGCAUCUCCAUCAGCGGCUUCGCCGUAGGCCUCGCCGACCCCAUCACCAACAUCGUCCUCACCAUCAUCAACGCUUUUGCCAAGAGACCAUCCUACGUCGUGCUCGUAAAGCUAGACGACGCGCUAGAGAAAAGUAGCAAGAAGUCCACCUUCGCCGUCGGCGCUCGCGACUCCCGCACCGGCCUCAUCAAGUUCUUGUUGUGCUACUUCCGCAACCUCAUGUAG